rnacentral:rRNA from 1 species
GGGAAUCUACCUUUUGCUACGGAAUAGCUCCGGGAAACUGGAAUUAAUACCGUAUGUGCCCUUUGAUGGUGGACAUUGGAGGGGAAAGAUUUAUCGGCAAAGGAUGAGCCCGCGUUGGAUUAGCUAGUUGGUGGGGUAAAGGCCUACCAAGGCGACGAUCCAUAGCUGGUCUGAGAGGAUGAUCAGCCACAUUGGGACUGAGACACGGCCCAAACUCCUACGGGAGGCAGCAGUGGGGAAUAUUGGACAAUGGGCGCAAGCCUGAUCCAGCCAUGCCGCGUGUGUGAUGAAGGCCUUAGGGUUGUAAAGCACUUUCACCGGUGAAGAUAAUGACGGUAACCGGAGAAGAAGCCCCGGCUAACUUCGUGCCAGCAGCCGCGGUAAUACGAAGGGGGCUAGCGUUGUUCGGAAUUACUGGGCGUAAAGCGCACGUAGGCGGAUAUUUAAGUCAGGGGUGAAAUCCCAGAGCUCAACUCUGGAACUGCCUUUGAUACUGGGUAUCUUGAGUAUGGAAGAGGUGAGUGGAAUUCCGAGU